UCAAACUUGGUCAUUUAGAGGAAGUAAAAGUCGUAACAAGGUUUCCGUAGGUGAACCUGCGGAAGGAUCAUCAAUGUAGUUUUUUCACAUAGGUGAGGUGUGUGGUUGACCCCUUCACACGGGUCACCCCACCUUUGCUUAUGAUUGGCCUAUCUAUCUUUAUUAAACAUGAUUGUUUGAUAAAAACAAAGUUGUGUGUUAAUUAUUCAGUAUUUUUUUUUAUUGAAUUAAAAACCAAAUACAACUAUCAACGAUGGAUCUCUUGGCUCUUGCAUCGAUGAAGAACGCAGC
rnacentral:misc_RNA from 1 species